UACGUAGGGGGCUAGCGUUGUCCGGAAUCAUUGGGCGUAAAGCGCGCGUAGGCGGCCCGGUAAGUCCGCCGUGAAAGUCCAGGGCUCAACCCUGGAAUGCCGGUGGAAACUGUCGGGCUGGAGUCCGGAAGAGGCGAGUGGAAUUCCUGGUGUAGCGGUGAAAUGCGCAGAUAUCAGGAGGAACACCAAUGGCGAAGGCAGCUCGCUGGGACGGUACUGACGCUGAGACGCGAAAGCGUGGGGAGCAAACAGG
rnacentral:rRNA from 1 species